rnacentral:rRNA from 1 species
GACGAACGCUGGCGGCGUGCUUAACACAUGCAAGUCGAACGAUGAAGCUGGAGCUUGCUCCGGUGGAUUAGUGGCGAACGGGUGAGUAACACGUGAGUAAUCUGCCCUUGACUCUGGGAUAACUGCGGGAAACUGUAGCUAAUACCGGAUACGACACCUUCGGGCAUCCGAUGGGUGUGGAAAGAAUUUCGGUCAAGGAUGAACUCGCGGCCUAUCAGCUAGUUGGUGAGGUAAUGGCUCACCAAGGCGACGACGGGUAGCCGGCCUGAGAGGGUGACCGGCCACACGGGGACGGAGACACGGCCCAGACUCCUCCGGGAGGGAGAAGUGGGGAAUAUUGCACAAUGGGCGAAAGACUGAUGCAGCAGCGCCGCGGGAGGGGGGAAGGCCUUCGGGUUGUAAACCUCUUUUAGUUGGGAAGAAGCGAAAGUGACGGUACCAACAGAAAAAGCACCGGCUAACUACGUGCCAGCAGCCGCCGUAA